rnacentral:rRNA from 1 species
CCUACGGGUGGCAGCAGUGAGGAAUAUUGGUCAAUGGGCGGGAGCCUGAACCAGGCAAGUCGCGUGAGGGAAGACGGUCCUAUGGAUGGUAAACCUCUUUAGGCGGGGAGCAAUGCCGGGCACGCGUGCCAGGAGGGAGAGUACCCGCAGAAUAAGCAUCGGCUAACGCGGUGCCAGCAGCCGCGGGAAUACGGGGGAUGCGAGCGUUAUCCGGAUUUAUUGGGGUUAAAGGGUGCGUAGGCGGAUUUUUAAGUCAGCGGUAAAAUGUCCGGGCUCAACCCGGGCCGGCCGUUGAAACUGGGGAUCUUGAGUGGGCGAGAGGUAUGCGGAAUGCGUGGUGUAGCGGUGAAAUGCGUAGAUAUCACGCAGAACUCCGAUUGCGAAGGCAGCAUACCGGAGCCCGACUGACGCUGAGGCACGAAAGCGUGGGGAUCGAACAGGAUUAGAUACCCGUGUAGUC